UAAGCCAAUUAUUUCAUCCCUACUGAGAGUGGCCAAGUGGGACUACAAUCAACUACGCUGACCUUAGUUAGCUAAAGGUGUGAUUUGACACCAAUGGGACCAAGCCCAAGCUCCCUGCCUGCAACAGGAAUUGUAACUAAGGAGAAAGGAGACUGAGUGUCCUUGGAAUCCGCACAUCCCAUUGACAGCUGGAUCCCAAAAUAACUACAGCUGCUCCAACAUCACCCUACCACCGUCAGUUGAUUAUGACUCCUGUUUGUUUACAUUCUAACAUCCAGCAUGGUGAACCUGCUGGAGUGGAAGCAAUAAGGGGUCCGAAUCGACUAGUUGCAGCUUCCUAGGUGCUGGCAUCACAGGUGUGCACCAAUGUGCCCAGCAUCACAGGU